rnacentral:rRNA from 1 species
AACGAACGCUGGCGGCGUGCCUAACACAUGCAAGUCGAACGUGAUCCAGAGCUUGCUCUGGUGAAAGUGGCGCACGGGUGAGUAACGCGUAGAUAAUCUGCCUGAUGAUUUGGGAUAACACUUCGAAAGGGGUGCUAAUACCGGAUAAGCCCACGGAGUCCUUGGAUUCUGCGGGAAAAGGAGGGGACCUUCGGGCCUUCCGUCAUCAGAUGAGUCUGCGUACCAUUAGCUAGUUGGUAGGGUAAAGGCCUACCAAGGCGACGAUGGUUAGCUGGUCUGAGAGGAUGAUCAGCCACACUGGAACUGAGACACGGUCCAGACUCCUACGGGAGGCAGCAGUGGGGAAUUUUGCGCAAUGGGGGAAACCCUGACGCAGCAACGCCGCGUGAGUGAUGAAGGCCCUUGGGUCGUAAAGCUCUGACAGAGGGAAAGAAAUGUGGGUGGCUAAUAUCCAUUCCACUUGACGGUACCCUCAAAGGAAGCACCGGCUAACUCCGUGCCAGCCGCCGCGGUAAGAC